GAACUGAACCAAACCAAACCGAACCAGCCUGAGGAUAGGCUAGGUCUCUAUAUAUAUCCUCUGUCUCUAUGCUUCCCUAUACAAACUUGCAAUAUAAUUAAGUUUUCAAAGUUGAGAUCGAGUAAAUUUGAAUCAAUGGCUUAUCCGAGCUCUUAUCAUGGCAAAGAUGAUGGUGAUCUUGAAGCAGGUAAUUAUUAUGUGGUUGAAGAAGGCAAAUAUUUGGGAUUGUACAGAGCUACAGUGCAAG